rnacentral:rRNA from 1 species
AGUGAACGCUGGCGGCAGGCCUAAUACAUGCAAGUCGAACGGCAGCACAGUGGAGCUUGCUCCAUGGGUGGCGAGGGGCGGGCGGGUGAGGCAUACAUGUGAAUCUGCUCAGUCGUGGGGGAUAACGCAGGGAAACUUACGCUAAUACCGCAUGCGCCCUGCGGGGGAAAGCCGGGGACCUUCGGGCCUGGCGCGAUUGGAUGAGCCCAGGUUCGAUUAGCUAGUUGGCGGGGUAAAGGCCCACCAAGGCGACGAUCGAUAGCUGGUCUGAGAGGAUGAUCAGCCACACUGGGACUGAGACACGGCCCAGACUCCUACGGGAGGCAGCAGUAGGGAAUAUUGGACAAUGGGCGCAAGCCUGACCCAGCCACGCCGCGUGAGUGAAGAAGGCCCUCGGGUUGUAAAGCUCUUUUGUCCGGGAAGAACAGCAUCGGGCUAAUCCCUCGGUGUUCUGACGGUACCGGAAGAAUAAGCACCGGCUAACUUCGUG